UGAGCUAGUAUAGCACUUAUACCGUGCAACUCGCGAAUGGCUCAUUAAAUCAGUUAUCGUUUAUUUGAUAGUACCUUACUACUUGGAUAACCGUGGUAAUUCUAGAGCUAAUACAUGCUGAAAACCUCGACUUCGGAAGGGGUGUAUUUAUUAGAUAAAAAACCAAUGCCCCUUGGGGCUCCUUGGUGAUUCAUGAUAAUUUUUCAGAUCGCAUGGCCUUGUGCCGGCGACGGUUCAUUCAAAUUUCUGCCCUAUCAACUUUCGAUGGUAAGGUAUUGGCUUACCAUGGUUUCAACGGGUAACGGGGAAUUAGGGUUCGAUUCCGGAGAAGGAGCCUGAGAGACGGCUACUACAUCCAAGGAAGGCAGCAGGCGCGCAAAUUACCCAAUCCCGACACGGGGAGGUAGUGACAAUAAAUACUGAUACAGGGCUCUUUUGGGUCUUGUAAUUGGAAUGAGUACAAUUUAAACCUCUUAACGAGGAACAAUUGGAGGGCAAGUCUGGUGCCAGCAGCCGCGGUAAUUCCAGCUCCAAUAGCGUAUAUUAAAGUUGUUGCAGUUAAAAAGCUCGUAGUUGAACCUUGGGCCUGGCUGGCAGGUCCGCCUCACCGCGUGUACUUGACCGGCCGGGCCUUCUCUUCUGGAGAACCUCAUGCCCUUUACUGGGCGUGUUGGGGACCAGGACUUUUACUUUGAAAAAAUUAGAGUGUUCAAAGCAGGCCUUUGCUCGAAUAUGUUAGCAUGGAAUAAUAGAAUAGGACGUGCGAUCCUAUUUUGUUGGUUUCUAGGACCGCCGUAAUGAUUAAUAGGGACAGUCGGGGGCAUCAGUAUUCAAUUGUCAGAGGUGAAAUUCUUGGAUUUAUUGAAGACUAACUACUGCGAAAGCAUUUGCCAAGGAUGUUUUCAUUAAUCAGUGAACGAAAGUUAGGGGAUCGAAGACGAUCAGAUACCGUCGUAGUCUUAACCAUAAACUAUGCCGACUAGGGAUCGGGCGGUGUUUCAAAAUUGACUCGCUCGGCACCUUACGAGAAAUCAAAGUGUUUGGGUUC
rnacentral:rRNA from 1 species